rnacentral:lncRNA from 1 species
GCCAGGACUGGCGGCUCCGAGGCUGCAGACUGUCGCGCUGCCAGGGACCGGACAGCUCAUAAAAACCGGUCUCGUUUUGGAUGGAGGUGAAGGGUUCUAGAAGUCCGGUCUUCCGCUCAGGUAACCGAUUGUGCACCCACCCACCCCAAUCCUGAUGCUCUGGAACUCUACAUUCUCUUUCCCCUCGGCCCUUUGCUUUCCUGUCCCAUGUGGACCUCACUGACUGCCACCUCCGCGGAUGCCUUUCUCGCCAGCCCCUCUUGGACUCAGCUAGGUAGCUCCAGGGACUGGUCGGUAUCAUCUAGGUGUUCCAGUACACCGGCCUGGCCCCCAGCAGCCUGGCUUUGCCGAACUCAAGACACAGACGCACUAGCUCUAACCGACGUCGCACAGCAGCCCCUUCACGCCGCCUGGGUACCCAAGGUGGCAAGGCGCCAAGUCGCACCCUGGGCCGGUAUUACCAGUUCCUGUCCUCUCUGCAUCUUCCCCGUCAGGCGCCAUCUCCCCUCUCUCGGGGCGACACUGUGUCUCCCUAGUCCGGCCACUGCGACCCUUCAGGACUUACCGCGGCCGGCACACCAUCACCGCCGCCUGGUCUGCGCGCUGCGAGGCGGAGCAGGACACCCGCCUGCGCCAGGGCAUCCUCUCGCGCCCGCCACACCCGCCCACUCCGGUGGCCCGGGGUCCUCCCGCGCAGCUCUGGUGCUCGGGACUUACCUCCGGGACAAGGUGACCCGGCUGGUGCGCCCAGGCGGCCGCCCGCGCGUCUCGAGAGCCGGGAAGCGUGAGGGGCGCGGGGCGGUGCGGAGCCCGCCUCUGCUUCUGGGCUCGUGGCUCUCCGCCUCUGCCCUCCCCUGCGCGCAGCUUCCCCCGCCGCUCCCCUCCUUGGAUCACUGCCAGCGCCCUGGGCUGCCCCGAGCACACAGUUCCCGAGAGCCGAACACAGGGCUGCGGCGCCACCCUUCCAGAACCCGGUCCUCUUGGCCCCUAGGAGCACAAAGGGCGCGGGCUGAACUAGGGGUGACCCGGGAUGUGCCGUUCCACUCUUUGGUCUCGCGGAGCCUGGCGACUUGUGUGCAAGAGUAUGCGGCCGCGGUCCCCGGGAGAAGGUGGCCGUGAGGAAGAGGAGGGGGAGAGAGAGCGGCAGCACACGAAGGUGGCCACUAACUUUGCUCCAGGCUAGCUGUGCCCUCGCCAGUGAUAGCGGCUGGCGGGUGGCCGGGGGCUAGUGUCUGGAAACGUUGGGGCGACUGAGAUGGGGGAAGGGGGACUGCCACUGGGAACUAGGAGGACAAGAAUUAGCCGCCGACUGUGGAAACGGUGGCUUCCCUUGGUCCUAAAAGACCUCCCAGGCUCCAGGUCGACUUGAGGUUCAGAAGGUUUCUCUGGACACUGUAGGUUCAGAGAAAGACCCACGUCCUGACCAGCAGAAGGAAUAAAGACAGAGACCAGCCUGAAAUCGGUACUCUGGGACUCAAGCCUGUAGCUCGGACCAACACCAUUGUAGGUGCACUGCGGGUGGCCCCAUGGUAGUUGCUGUGGAAGGAAACUGGGCCGACGACGCCUUGGGGGUGGGGCAGAGUGGUGGCUUGGAGUAGGUCGAGGAGAGCCCUAGUAGAGCCGCCUACGAAGACAAUCUACAUUUCAAACGUUGGGGAAAAUCAUGCUCGAGUGGGCGUGUUUUCCUUACAGAUUUUAUAGAGAAGGAAUUAGAAAAUUCGCCAAAAAGAGGAUCAAAAGUUGUCUUAUCUGAAUGACCCCCUUUCAAAACAAGGGAAAAUUCACCUUGCUUCAGCUCUCCCAAACCCAAACUUUUUCUCCCUGGGGAGUCAACAUUGCUAAUUCCCUAGUGGUUCCUUGGAUCUAUAGCUAUCUUGUAUAGAUUCCUGCCCCUUGCCUCAAAACCAAGAUUUUGCCCCCAGAAACUGCCGCAUCUAGCCAAGUAGAAUUUGGAGUGUCAGAGUUGGAGGUAGCUCAAAUCCUGCCUGGGAGCCCUGUGCAGCACUUGGCUUCUGGGGACCUUUAGCUGUACAUAGAAAACAAAAAAAUCAGAUUUGGAUGGCUUAGGAAGGAGGUUGAGCUGAUUAGUGGACCCAGGUGUGUUCAGAGAAGCUCCUUGCUUGGGUUCAUCUGAACGUCUUCUUUACAUCUAAAUAUCACACUCAUUCUCAACUUCUGCAGCAGCUAGGCACCUGGCUUUCUUCUACUGGUUGCUCUGAGCUCCAGGCAGCUCUUUUAUCUGGGACAGCCUGAAAAGGACAUUGUGAGUAUCCCCCAUUUAGUAUCUCUUAAAUUAACAGAAACUGUCAGCCUUACCUCUCUCUGUAAAACAGCUUAUGGUCUCUGGUUCCUUCCUGAACAGAACAUUCUCUGCUCUCCUGUGAACUGCUAGGCUGAGCAUCCAUUGUUAGAGCCAUGCAGGAUGCAGAAUCAACACUGCUGUUUGUCUAUUGAAGAGAUGGAGACUUGAAAGGCUGAGAGAGUCUUGUCUCCCAAACUGCCGGGGUCACCUACAACUAUAAUUCAUUCUCUGUGUCUAAGCCAAGCUAUCUUGGUAGUCAGCCUUUAGGUUGCCUUAGAGGUUCACUUGGGUUUGCCAGAGCAUCUGCUUGGUUUACAACUGCUAGAAUUUUAAAGCGAGUUUUCCCCCCAAAAUUGCAGUCAGGUAACUUGUCAAAUGUAGGGUUAAGACUCACCAUGGAUCCCAACUGUCUCUGUGUUACCUCCAAAUAGAACAAUGGCCUCCAGGGUUGAGUCCCUGUGACCUGCCUCUAUGUGUUAGAUAUUGCGAAAAUUUUCCAUGGAUGAUUUACUGGGUCUGCAUAGGAACACAGGCAUUUAUUCACAGAUGGACAGCAUUUUCCAGCCUUUGGUUGUCUGGAUAGGUAGGUAGAUAGAUAGAUAGAUAGAUAGAUAGAUAGAUAGAUAGAUAGAUAGAUAGUAUGUGUGUUUCUGUGUGUGUGGUGUGCGUGUUUGAAUUUCUGAGAUAAUGUCAAAGACUUAUUUUUCUUAAUCUACAUUAUCCACUUUGCCACUUAAUAUGUUACUUUCUAAUUGUAGACUGGAUGUUCGCCUCUCAGUUGAAGCUGGGAUUUUUAUUGUGUUUUAAAAGAAAUUUACACUUCCUAGUUGAGAAUCAUGUAUUAAGAGGGAUCUCAUCUAUUACUGUUAGAGGAUAGAAUACCUCAGUUAAUCUGGAAUACAGCACACAUGUGAGCCAGUUUUUCCUACAUGCAAAGUCAUAGUGGUUCAGAAUGUGAUUGUAGCGAUUUUGAUAAAAUAUAGCAGUGAAAUAAAGGUUUUC